UACAGAGGUCUCAAGCGUUGUUCGGAUUCAUUGGGCGUAAAGGGUGCGUAGGCGGCGCGGUAAGUCGGGUGUGAAAUCUCGGAGCUUAACUCCGAAACUGCAUUCGAUACUGCCGUGCUUGAGGACUGGAGAGGAGACUGGAAUUUACGGUGUAGCGGUGAAAUUCGUAGUAUAUUAGGAAGAACACCAGUGGCGAAGGCGGCUACCUGGACCGGUUCUGACGCUGAGGCGCGAAAGCGUGGGUAGCAAACAGG
rnacentral:rRNA from 1 species